rnacentral:other from 1 species
UUGAGGCUGCUUUGUUCGUUAGUAUAUGAAGUUUCAACCUUUGAUUAAUGAAAGGGAGUCCUAAAUUAAAACCGGAACGGCAUGCCUCCGAUUUUUGGCUUGAGGACGCUGGGAACGUUUUUGCGGACACCCACCUGGCGGAGCAGGUUUUGAAACUCCAUAUUGAUCGGCGGCAAAAGCGGCUUUAUA